AACAAGAAUUCCCCUAGUAACUGCGAGUGAAGCGGGAAAAGCUCAAAUUUUGAAUCUGGCUGCCUUUGGUGGUCCGAGUUGUAAUCUAGAGAAGUGUUUUCCGCGCUGCCCGUGUACAAGUCUCCUGGAACGGAGCGUCAUAGAGGGUGAGAAUCCCGUCUCUGACACGGACCCCAGUGCUUUGUGAUACACUUUCGACGAGUCGAGUUGUUUGGGAAUGCAGCUCAAAUUGGGUGGUAAAUUCCAUCUAAAGCUAAAUAUUGGCGAGAGACCGAUAGCGAACAAGUACCGUGAGGGAAAGAUGAAAAGAACUUUGGAAAGAGAGUUAAACAGUACGUGAAAUUGCUGAAAGGGAAACGCUUGAAGUCAGUCGCGUUGGCCUGAGAUCAGCCUUGCUCUUUUGCUUGGUGUAUUCUCUUGUUGACGGGUCAGCAUCAAUUUUGGCUGCCGGAUAAAGUCAGAGGGAAUGUGGCACCUCUCGGGGUGUGUUAUAGCCUUCUGUCGUAUACGGUGUCUGGGAUUGAGGAACUCAGCACGACCUUCGGGUUUGGGGCUUCGGCCUACAUCCGUGCUUAGGAUGCUGGCAUAAUGGCUUUAAGCGACCCGUCUUGAAACACGGACCAAGGAGUCUAACAUGCCCGCGAGUGUUUGGGUGUUUAAAACCCGAGCGCGUAAUGAAAGUGAAAGUUGGGAUCCCUGUCGUGGGGAGCACUGACGCCCGGAUCUGAACUUCUGUGACGAAUCUGCGGUAGAGCGUGUAUGUUGGGACCCGAAAGAUGGUGANCUAUGCCUGAAUAGGGCGAAGCCAGAGGAAACUCUGGUGGAGGCUCGUAGCGAUUCUGACGUGCAAAUCGAUCGUCGAAUUUGGG
rnacentral:rRNA from 1 species